UCUUCUCCCCCUUACAAAUUCCCCACCUCCCCCCCUCGGAUCUGCACAACACAGAGCACGAAGCCUAAGACUCGCAGUUAGAUGGCUUCGUCCAGCAUUCUCUCCCUCUCCUUCUUCUUCUUCUUCUUCUUCUCCCUUCUUGUCACCCUCUCCCAUGCCGCCACCUUCGAGAUCGUGAACCGAUGCUCUUACACAGUGUGGGCCGCGGCCGUGCCUGGCGGCGGACGCCAGCUCAACCAGGGGCAGUCGUGGACCAUCAACGUGAACGCGGGAACCACCGGCGGCCGCAUCUGGGGCCGCACCGGCUGCUCCUUCGACGGGAGCGGACGCGGGCGGUGCCAGACGGGCGACUGCGGCGGCGUGCUGUCAUGCACGGCGUACGGCAGCCCGCCCAACACCCUGGCGGAGUUCGCGCUCAACCAGUUCAACAACCUCGACUUCUUCGACAUCUCCCUGGUCGACGGCUUCAACGUGCCAAUGGACUUCAGCCCCACGUCAGGCGGCUGCCGCGGCAUCCGGUGCGCGGCGGACAUCAACGGGCAGUGCCCCGGGGCGCUGAAGGCGCCGGGCGGCUGCAACAACCCCUGCACCGUGUUCAAGACGGACCAGUACUGUUGCAACUCCGGCAGCUGCAGCCCGACCGACUACUCCCGGUUCUUCAAGAGAAACUGCCCCGACGCCUACAGCUAUCCCAAGGACGAUCAGACGAGCACCUUCACCUGCCCCGGCGGCACCAACUACAGGGUUGUCUUCUGCCCUUGAGAUCACUGACGCCACUAAUAAGCCGCCCUCGUGCAGGCAACCACGCAUAUAGAUAUAUAUACUAGUCUCCUACAAUACAAAUAAGAUGUCAAGAGUGAUGGAAGGUAUUAGCCUUCUCUUGGGCUAAUACUGUUGACUGAUGUAAUAGAAGUGGUGCAACCAACUAAUAAGAUGCAUAAUAUCAUCACAGCAUGAGUGCUUUUCCAUUGAUGUUUGAAUCAUUUUGUGAGAGCAAUCAGCUUAUGCAAUCAGCAAAAAGAAUAAUUAAACCAUUUCUAUUUAUGUCUUGUUGGCUUAAAACAUGAAUUGAUUUUGAAACAUAAUGAACCCUACAUAUAUAACUUCAUAAAAGAUAUCUCAAGGACCAUACAUUAUACAUACAUAUAUACAUAUAUAUACAUAUAUAUACACAUAUAUAUAUACAUAUAUAUACACAUAUAUAUACAUAUAUAUAUAUAUACAUAUACAUAUAUAUAUAUAUAUNNNNNNNNNNNNNNNNNNNNUAUGUAUAUAUAUAUAUGUAUAUAUAUAUAUAUCAUUUAGGAUGAUGAGUCAUCGCCUAUCCAAUUUGGACCUCUGCCAUUCUCCGUAGAAACUUUGCGUAGCCAUUUUCCAAUACAAUUGCGCGUUGACCAGAGUGCGUCCAUGUGAUCCUCCCCGGUAAGUUUGGUGCCCGAAAUUAUCCGGCAAGUAUGGCUUUAAAUAUUGGAAUUAGUUGCUCUUUGUUUUACGUAGGCCGAUCAAGAUGAACAGAGAGAAUGAUGCUGACUAAUUGAGCCCUGACCAAUCGAGGGCUUCAGGACUCGAGCCCCGACGCGCCCUCGGGAAGCUGCCGCGGGAGGCGGACAUCGAUGGGCAGUGCCCGCAGGUGUUGAGGGCGCCGCGGCGGGUGCACCGCUCGACCGUGUCCAAGGCGGACCGGUACUGCUGCAGCUCCUGCAACUGUGCGUCAAGCGGCUACUUCAGCUUCUUGAGGAGGAACUGCACCGAUGGCUAUAUCUUCCCACAACCUUACGGCCUGGCUUCCACCACUAGUUUCUACGGUAGUCUUCCUCCUCCAAGAGUCGAAUUCAGCUUCCUACAAGAUUAUAAUGAUGGUUUGUAUCAAUUAGUUGUUAAAUUGUAUUUUGGAACCUAAUACAUAUUUUAAAUAUAAAUUCAUAUUUAAAGUUUCUUUAACAUCACAUUUGUCAUGAAUAUAGUGUCAGUAAAUGCUUAAAUUCUGAAACUAUCUUAGAAUAAUUAUAACAUCUCGAGUAAUCUCACAUAAAAAAUGAAUAAGAUUAAAAUUAACUUAUGAUAGUAUAUUACUAUCAAUAUUAAUUUGAAUAUUUUGAUUGCUUGGAUUCAAGAAAAUUGAUAAGUCAAUUAGUUAAUCAAUUGUGACAUUCGAUAUCAAAUUAGUAUUAGGAUAUAGUAUAAUCAAAUUACUAUUAGCGUAUCGUGAGUGAGCUUCGUACUCGUUCAUUGUGAAGUCAUCUUGGGCUAUGUCUUACAUGCCGCGCUAUAUUGAGUCUUUGACAAUGAUUAAUUUUUUUUUUAUAGUUCACACAUAAAAAUAGAUUUUGAACUAUUUAAUUUUAAAAAUCAUAUUAUUUAUUAUAAAAUAUAUUUAUUAAAAUUUAAUUAACUAAUAAAAUUAUUAACUUAUUCACAUAAUUAAGAAAAUCAAUUUUAAUCAUUUUCUUAGCCAUACUAUACAAACAAAAUCACAAUGUAUAUAUUUUUCUUAAAUUUUUAUCUUAAAUGCAUGUUGCUAAUUAUAAUACUUGAUUUAUAUUUAGAUUUAUAUGAUAGUUGAUUAAAAAUAUUAUUUCUUCUCUUAUGUAAUUUUAUCUUUUUAAUAAUCUAUUGUUUAUUAUAUUUUAAUGACUCAAUGCUUGGGAUUAGAUGUUUUUUACUAUAAUUUCAUAAUGCUAUAAUUUAGAAUUGAAGAAAUUGAUUAGGAUUUGGGUUAUAUCUCACACGUACAAUCUUAGAGUUUGAGUUGGGUUUUAAUAAGGAUCAUUUAUUUUUUAUAUAAUAUUUAUUUCCUAUGAUUCACACAUAAAAAUAAAAUUUAAAUUAUUUACUUUCUAAAAAUUGCAUCACUCGUUGAGAAACGAAUCAAUUAAUAAUUUAAUUAAUUUAGUAAUCAUAUUACAUAAAUAAAAUCAUAAUGUGUAGUAUUUUAAAAUUUUUUAUCUUACAUGCAUGAUGCACGAUGAUAAUUAUAAUCCUUGGUUUCUAUUAUAUUUAUAUAGUAAUUUAUUAAAAAUAUUAUUUUCUCACUAAUGUAAUUUUAUUUUAAAAUUUAUUACUAUUUAUUAUGUUUUUAAUGACUCAAUACUAAUGAUCAGAUAUUCUAAUUAGUAGUCAUAUUAGUAAUCAUUAAGAAAUUUAAUUUAAAUUAUUUCAGUAAUAAUAUUACAUAAAUAAAAUCAUAAUGUGUAGUAUUUUUAAAAUUGUUAUCUUACAUGCAUGAUGCAUGAUGAUAAUUAUAAUACUUGGUUUCUAUUAGAUUUAUAUAAUAAUUUAUUAAAAUAUUAUUUUCUCACUUAUGUAAUUUUAGUUUUAAAAUUUAUUACUAUUUAUUAUGUUUUUAGUGACUCAAUACUAAUGAUCAGAUAUUCUAAUUAUAUUUUUUAUAUUUUAAAAUUAAGAGAAUUGAUUAAGAUUUAAGUUGAAAUCAACAAACAAUUAGAGCUAACCCAUAGGCUAGCCACAACUCGUAGAUUAAGCUCAGCAAGCAAGUCAACCCAUAGCCUAUAGGACUCCAAUAUGAUCAGUUAUGUAAUGUACAGACCAAGUCAGAUUUCAUAAACUUAGAUAGAUUCAAGGUAAUUCUAAACUUAUUUAGUCUAUUCAUGUCUAUCUAAUCUAAAUCGAACUCAAUCUAGUCCAAAGUAUACAAGUCUAAGAUGAUUCUAGACUGAUUAAAUGAGAAUUAAAAAUCGAUUUUAUUAUACUAGAGUUAAAUCGAGUUCAAUUGAUUUUAAUUAAACUCGUUUAGAUCGAUUAAGUUCUAGUUAAAUCAGGUUCAAUUAGACCGAUUGAGUUAAGUUAGAUAAAACCUAGGGAUAUGAGUUAUAAAUAAUAUUCAUCAAAUUUCUUCAAUCUAAUUUAUGCUAAAAUAGUUCAAUAAUAAAAAAUAAUAACUGCAAUAAUUAUUGAAUGUUAAUCAGUAUAAUGAAAAAUUCAUAUAAUAACUAUAAUUAUGAUAAGUCAUGAAUUAUAUUUUUAUAUAAUUUUCAAACAUAUUAUAUAAAUAAUCAAAUAAAUAUCCAAGAAAAAUAAUUAGAUUUUUAUUUAUCACAUGCAAAAUUUUAUCAAUAUGACAAAUAAGAAAAUUAUUAAAGAAAAAUCAUAAUUUAUAUUUUUAAAAUUUUGUAUGAACCCUUAUACCAAUCAACCCUAUUUAAUUAGGUAAGCCCAUAAUUGGACUACCUAAAUUGGGCUAACAAUUUGCCUAAUUAGACCCAUUAAGAUUAAAGUUGAUCAAAAUAAAAAAAAGAUCAAAAAUAACUUUUUUUUAAUUUGAUCAAAAACUUAAUUGGUCGAAUUUAAAUCCAACCAAAUAGUUAAAAUAUAGUAAUGAUUAAGCUCGUUUAAAAGAUUUGAUUAAAAUAAAUCAAAUUAAUAAAUUUUAUAAUUGAGGGCAUAUCUCAAAAUAUUUUAAUUCAAAAGGGUAAAACUAUAAUUUUACUGGGAUAUGUAGAGAAAAUAUCUAAUUUCUGAAGAAUAUAAUUAUCAAAAGGACACAAGUUGAAAUUAAAAGACUUUAUAAGAAUAAAUUUAUAAUUUUAAAAAUAAAUCCUAAUCUUUCACCCAGAAAGGCUCUCUCGCAUUUGUCAUUGGUUCCACCAUGCCCACACGCAAAAGUCAACACCGCAGUGUUCGCCCACCACCUGCAUGGACAACGAGGCAGUUGUCCUUAUGCAUUCAAACGAUAACCUCAUCGGUCGUCGCGUUGUGCCAUGCUCAUGAGUGGCUAUUAUCAUCGUGCGCUUGACUAUAACACUUCAAAAACAAUAUGUAUGUCACUGACCGGAAGCUAUCGCGUAGUUACGCACACAUGCCGAUCGAUAACCCCCAGAAUCACUUUGAUGUGUGACUGUGCUCGCUUGUCUUGCUACAUAGUCGUUGGGAACAAUGGCUUUCAGUGUCCAAUCGAUGUUGACCAUGGCCAACAAGCACUACCACAGUGGUAUUACUGUAACCAUUGUACGUAGUGAAGCUAUAUAGCCACUAUAGGUGCAUGCGCACAUAGUGGCACUGUUACAAUCAUCGCACUUAGUAUUAUACCCCAUGGUGCUUCCAUUAGGUACGCAAUUGCUACUCGCGAUUGAACUAAUGACAAUCAAAAGUUGUCGCUCUUAACCAUAUUGUUAUCGACAAUAAGCUAGUCACAGUGAUCCAUUGAUCAAGUACGAGAAAAUUCAUAUCUCCCACAAAUAGGUGAUAAGAUCGAUUAAAUAGAAAAAUAGAUCAAUAAUAUAUAUGAAUCAUUCAUACAUCGUAAAUAAAAAAUUGAAUAACACUUUUUCAUAAGCCAAAGAUGCUAACAAAUAUAUCUAAAAUAAUUUAUUUUACAAACAUGACUCUGAUAUCAAUUGUAAGUAUAAAAACCAUCCUUAUGCUAUUGUUAUGCAGAAAACUUUAACACCAAAAUCUAAAAUCAAAUAAUAAUAGAUAAGAUUCAUGAUACGUACAUUUUGAUGCUAGUUAAAAAAGCUCUUAUAUGAUCUAUAGGUACACCAUCGUUGGAUCUGAAAGUUAUAGUAAUAUCGAUCUAUAAGAAGAAUUAGACUCAUCGUUUUCUCAUUUUCUAUCCUUUAUAGGACCACUACAAUGGAUUUAGAGACUAAGGGGAGAUGAGAGAAGAUUUAUAAUUUCUCACUGACUUAUUCACAAAAAUUUAUAAUUUUUUAAUAAUAUUUUGUAAACACGUAUCGUUUUUAUCUUCUUAUAGUAUUUCUAGGUGAGAAUAGAAAAUCUAUGAUAAGUAAUGAAUAGGGUCUUUCUAAUCAAAAUCUAUCUCUUAACGAAUUUUAUGAUAAUUUAAUUUUUUAUCAAUCUAUAAUCAUAAUUAAAAUUUAAUCAUAUCUAUAAUAUAUCUUAAAUAAAUAAUUAGUGAUAUAUAAUCUGACACCUCUCUCUUCUCUCCCUUAUAAAUUCCCCACCUCUCCACCCCUCGGAUCUGCACAACACAGAGCACGAAGCCUAAGACUCGCCGUUAGAUGGCUUCGUCAAGCAUUCUCUCCCUCUCCUUCUUCUCCCUUCUUGUCACCCUCUCCCAUGCCGCCAACUUCGAGAUCGUGAACCGAUGCUCUUACACAGUGUGGGCCGCGGCCGUGCCCGGCGGCGGACGCCAGCUCAACCAGGGGCAGUCGUGGACCAUCAACGUGAAAGCGGGAACGACCGGCGGCCGCAUCUGGGGCCGCACAGGCUGCUCCUUCGACGGGAGCGGCCACGGGCGGUGCCAGACGGGCGACUGCGGCGGGUUGCUGGCGUGCACGGCGUACGGUAGCCCGCCCAACACCCUGGCGGAGUUCGCGCUCAACCAGUACAGCAACCAAGACUACGUGGACAUCUCCCUGGUCGACGGCUUCAACGUGCCUAUGGACUUCAGCCCCACGUCGGGCGGCUGCCGCGGCAUGCGGUGCACGGCGGACAUCAACAAGAAGUGCCCCACGGCACUGAAGGCGCCGGGCGGCUGCAACAACCCCUGCACCGUGUUCAAGACGGACCAGUACUGCUGCAACUCCGGCAGCUGCCAGCCGACCGAGUACUCCAAGUUCUUCAAGAGCAACUGCCCCGACGCCUACAGCUAUCCGAAGGACGAUCCGACGAGCCUCGUCGCCUGCCCCGGCGGCACCAACUACAGGGUUGUCUUCUGCCCUUGAGAUCACCGACGCCACUAAUAAGCCUCCCUCGUGUAGGCAACCACGCAGAUAUAUAUAUAUAUAUAUAUNNNNNNNNNNNNNNNNNNNNCCCGACGCCUACAGCUAUACCGAAGGACGAUCCGACGAGCCUCGUCGC
rnacentral:lncRNA from 1 species